AACAUGGAGCACUUAACAAUUUUACAUUAUUUAAAUGACGAACAUACCCCUUUCUCUAUAAAUAUGCCCAAUCUCCUCUCUUCUCCUAUCCACCUUAUUCUUCUUUCCAUAUUUUCUUUUUUAUUUCAUCAAAACACAUCUCAAUGCUGUUAAUUUUCUCCUCUAAAGGAAGCCUGUUCGAAGAAGAGCUGAUACUUUCAGCGGCGCCGUCGAAACAUCUGUUCCCCUCUCGAGUUAUGCUGUUGGUGGUGAUGCCGAGGCCUUGGUAGACUUGCAUUUUUGUCGGAGUUGAUGAUCUCAUCUUUCAAAUUGGGCUGCUCUUGAUGGCCUGAUUUUAAUGGAGAGAUCGUCAACUCUGACAAAUUGCAAGUCUACUAGAGCAUUGAAACAACAUGUCGCAGUUACAUCUUUUUCUUACUAGAGUGGGGUUAGUAAUGUUUUACCAUCUGUUAUUUCAGUGUGUUUAUAUUGUCUUCUUCACGUCUAAGUAAAUAGAUUAGUUAUAAAAUUGUUGUCGCCUGCUUUAUUUCAAGUGGAGUUUUAUCUAAUUUUUUCAAUUUUUCAAUUUCAAUUAUAUUAGAUUGUCAUCGUGUUUCAAAGUAUAAAUAAUUUAUUUAGAUUAUUGUCGGGGGUAUUUCAAUCAUCUUGUUGAAGAAACAGGUGGUUUGGUCGGUAGGGGCCAGGACAUUUUGACAUGUAGCUUUACCUUUUUGAAAUUGGGUACAUUGUAUAUCAUUAUAACUAUGAUUUACAUAUUUUAAUUAUUUUUACCGUGUUAUGUAAUUCAAGUUAAUCUGCAUUUAGACUAAAUCGGUGAUUUUGGAUUCACACUAAUGAUUUAUAAAUUCCACCAAGUUUGACUGUUUGAGUAAGGUUCAUUUUUUUAAUCAAUGCAUUACGAGUUAAAUAUAAGUAGUGUAGGAAAAUAUGGAACAUGAGGGAAAUUGGAAAAGGCUAGGCUUUUGGUCGUACCUUAAUACCGAGAUCUCUCAUGUGGUCAUUCCUAGCCUAUAAAUAGAUGAGUAUUUUGGAGUAGAAACACACCAACAAUCAUUCUCUCUUCUCACUAAGCGCUCAAGCAUUCUAGUUCGCAUCUUAGGAGCAUUGCAUAGCUCGGUUCUUACCUCCAAUUCAAGUUCGCCGGGGCCUACGAGUUUGAGGUGCUUCAACUCGGUAGGAGGAAAGUCGUUUCAUCUUUGGGGACGUUGCGCCAAUCCGUGAGCAUUAGCCGGGGCAUAUCUCAUCUUGCAGAGAGAGAGAUAUCUCGAUUCGACUUGAAAAAGACUAUAGUUUGCAUCUUGUUCCGUUUAUUGUAUUUACUAUUUACUUUGUUUAAUUUACCUUCUAGCUUUUUGGUUUUUUGCAAUAACAAGAGUUUGCCCGAGUGUAAAGGCUA